CGUUACCUGCGCUGCAUGCAAAGAAAGACAUAAUUGGAUUAUUAAAAAAAAGUUAAUCUCAGUAGCUUAUAUAUAUAUAUACACCGGUCCAGAAUUAUUGCUAAGAACAUGCAUACUUAAUUAGAUAUAUGCUUAAAGAAGAAUGGGUUUGAAAAUUUCAACCAGUUUUCUUCUUCUAUCUUUGUUUCUUCUACAUCUUUGUCUCUUUUCUGAAGUUGGAGGAAUUGAGACAGCUCACCGGAGGAUAGAACCCAUUAGAGAGCUAGCUGUAUCACCAUCUUGUUCGUGCGGAGGAGGCAAACGUCAAGAUCCAUGUCCACGUCCACCUCUACGUCCUUGCUCACCUCCACAUGCACGCUAGAGACCCUAUAAAGGGACGUAAAGAAGAAAGAAAAACAAAUAAGAUAUUAGAAUUCGAUUUAGGUGCUUUCAAUUUAUUUAAAAAUGUUUAUCAUAAACAGUAGUUCUCUUUAAUAAUUAAUACAGAAAAUAAUAAAACUCCAUGAAAUGAAGGUGAGUAAUAGGUUUCCAUCCACAUGAUUGUGUAGUAUUCGACUAGAAGAAGGUUUUUUUUAGUUUCUUUGAAUGUGAAAUUUACUACUCAAAAUUAAA